rnacentral:rRNA from 1 species
AUGACUAGGGAUAACCUUAGGAAGAGACACAUCAUCAAACCCCUUGAUUGUGUUUACUGCUUGGAACAAGAGUCUUGUUCUCACCUAUUUUUUGAAUAUAUAGUUGCUAAACAUCUCUAGGCCCACAUUGGAAAUUUCUCUAGUCAGAUUGGCUCAUCCUUCGAAUCUGUCGCCAGAUUCUGGAUUGCUACCAAAAAUUGCUCAGUUUUAAACACUGUUAGCUCAACUGUCCUUUGGUGCCUCUAGAAAUAUAGAAAUGCUAUGAUUUUUAGUAACACCUCCUGGAGUUCCAUUCCGCAGGUCUUGAGGUUGAUCAGGAACAUGGUGAGGGACUGGGCGAUUCUCUCCUCCGGAUCGGACAAGGACAAGUUGAUGAGCUUCAUGGAAACCCUAACAAGAUCCCUCCAGAAACCGUUGGCGAUCACUUGUGGCUGA